rnacentral:lncRNA from 1 species
UUUUUACAAUCUCAUACACCGCUCUCCAAAAUAUCACUAUAAAAAUAAAUAUAUUUUAUAAUAUUUCAAAAAAUUAUUAAAUAUAAUUUUUUAUAAACAGGGUAAUGAUUAUUUCUAAAUCUAAGGGCAUGUUUGGUUCGCUUAUUUUUUACCUUGGAGUCGGAAUAGGAAUGAAUGAAUUCAUUUGUGGGUGUUUGGUACUCGGGAGUCCUAUUCUGAUUCCGAUUUCCGAGUGGAAUGGAAAUUUCCUAAUCAGUUGAAUCCGGACGAAAUAGAUAUUUAUUCGGAUUAAAUUUAUUUUUUCAACUUUUUUUAAUUAAAAUAUGAGUUUAAAUUUAGAAAUUAAAUUUAUAUUUUUAAAUUUUAAUUUGAAUUUGAAUUAAAAAUUAAAAUUUAAUCAUGUAUUUUGAAUCUAACUUAUAAAUUUGAAUUUAAAUUAAAUUUUAAUUUAUAUAAAGUUUUAUUCAAAUUUUAUUUAAAACUUAAAUUAAAUUUAUAAAUUCAAAUUAAAAUUUAAAUUGUAAUUUUAAGUUUGAAUUU